CCCUUAGAUGUUCUGGGCCGCACGCGUGCUACACUGAACGGUUCAAUGGGUAAGGUAGUGCGAAAGCAUGACCCAAUCUCGAAAUCCGUUCGUGCUGGGGAUAGAAGCUUGCAAUUAUCCUUCUUGAACGAGGAAUACCUUGUAAGCGUGAGUCAUCAUCUCACGCUGAAUACGUCCCUGCCCUUUGUACACACCGCCCGUCGCUCCUACCGAUUGAGUGUUCCGGUGAGGCUUUGGGAGAAUGGCCUCAACAUGAGUUUAUCGUGUUUUGCCGUUUGAACUUAGUCAAACCUUAUCACUUAGAGGAAGGAGAAGUCGUAACA
rnacentral:rRNA from 1 species